GAUGAACGCUGGCGGCGUGCCUAAUACAUGCAAGUCGAGCGAACGGACGAGAAGCUUGCUUCUCUGAUGUUAGCGGCGGACGGGUAAGUAACACGUGGAUAACCUACCUAUAAGACUGGGAUAACUUCGGGAAACCGGAGCUAAUACCGGAUAAUAUUUUGAACCGCAUGGUUCAAAAGUGAAAGACGGUCUUGCUGUCACUUAUAGAUGGAUCCGCGCUGCAUUAGCUAGUUGGUAAGGUAACGGCUUACCAAGGCAACGAUGCAUAGCCGACCUGAGAGGGUGAUCGGCCACACUGGAACUGAGACACGGUCCAGACUCCUACGGGAGGCAGCAGUAGGGAAUCUUCCGCAAUGGGCGAAAGCCUGACGGAGCAACGCCGCGUGAGUGAUGAAGAUCUUCGGAUCGUAAAACUCUGUUAUUAGGGAAGAACAUAUGUGUAAGUAACUGUGCACAUCUUGACGGUACCUAAUCAGAAAGCCACGGCUAACUACGUG
rnacentral:rRNA from 1 species